rnacentral:rRNA from 1 species
UACGGGGGGGGCAAGCGUUGUUCGGAAUUACUGGGCGUAAAGGGCUCGUAGGCGGCCAACUAAGUCAUACGUGAAAUCCCUCGGCUUAACCGGGGAACUGCGUCUGAUACUGGAUGGCUUGAGUUCGGGAGAGGGAUGCGGAAUUCCAGGUGUAGCGGUGAAAUGCGUAGAUAUCUGGAGGAACACCGGUGGCGAAGGCGGCUCACUGGACCGGAACUGACGCUGAGGCGCGAAAGCGUGGGGAGCAAACGGG